UAGUAAUUCUUUUAAAGUAUU
rnacentral:piRNA from 1 species